rnacentral:rRNA from 1 species
UACGAAGGGUGCAAGCGUUACUCGGAAUUACUGGGCGUAAAGCGUGCGUAGGCGGUUUGUUAAGUCCGUUGUGAAAGCCCCGGGCUUAACCUGGGAACUGCGUUUGAUACGGAUGGGCUAGAGUUCGGGAGAGGAGCGUGGAAUUCCCAGUGUAGAGGUGAAAUUCGUAGAUAUUGGGAAGAACACCGGUGGCGAAGGCGGCGCUCUGGACCGAGACUGACGCUGAGGCGCGAAAGCGUGGGGAGCAAACAGG